CGAACCCGUCCACCGGCGGACCAUCGCCUCUCUAGCCGUAAGACUCGUUUCUCGCUGGUUCCCAGCCUGGCACGCGACAAGCCUUGGCUGUCCUGGAACUUGCUUUGCACACCAGGCUGAACUCGAACUUGGAGAGAUCUGCCUGUCUCUGACUCCUGAGUGCUGGGAUUAAAGAGAGCUGGGAUGACAGGUCUGUGCCAACAAUGCCUGGCUCAACUGCCUCAUUUUAAGAAAGCAAAGAAAGCUGUCCUCCAAAAAGCUGGCUGCCCACGUUAAUAUACUAGACAUCCUGUAGGUAUGUGCUAUCCUUAGGAUACCUGUUGUUACUGAAACCAAGGAAGUCUGAGAUAUGGUCACAGGCAAGAGGAGUAUAAGGAGAUAUAAUGCCUGCAUGUCCCGUGGGAUCCAGGUGAGCAGGGGCUCCUGAGAUGCAUUGGGGAUGCUUGGGCCCACAUGCCCUCACCGCCUGCAGUUUGUCCAGGUUGUCUAGUAGCACCUUCUCAGUGUGUCUGUAGGCUUUGGCCACCAGCAGUUUUGCUUCCUGUAAAGAAAGAGGUAAGUCUGUCACGAGAAAGGUCUAAAACAUAGUUUACAGACUCACUGACAGCCAGCUCUAAAACAAAGGUGCAAAAAACACAGUUCAGGAGCAGGCCCAUCUUCACAAUACACAGCAGCAAUGUAUUCUGCUCUUAUUCUGUCUAAAGGAUGCACACCCACCAGCUAACCUCACCCUGGAGAGAGCAACUGGGCAACUCACAGCUGCUUCAUUGCACAAGCCACUGCAAGUGACCCUGAAGAGACCCAGGUGCCACACUGGCCCAGCUUGUGGGCUAUCGGGAUCAUGUGCACUGCUCGACCACUUGGCAUCCUUAUUGGACAUUCUUCCCGGUUCUACAUCUAGCUUUAUUUGGAACCAUCUAGGUCCUCACCCAAGAGAACACACUGAACAGGUCAGAGUCCAGAACAAAACACCAGCCACAUUAGGCCUUCAAUACAUGCUCAUCUGAGGGUGCUAGCAGGCCGCUGCAGGAGGCCCAGAUGUUUCUUCUCCAUGGGCAGUAAGGCCUGUGUCCACUCACAUGGUCCAUCAGCUGCUGGAGGCCCUGGCUGAAGGGACGUCGUCCAAUGCCCACGAGGCCCUCUUGUGCCUCAGGGAAGGAAACAGGCCCAAUGCUAGGUGCCAUCCCAAACUGUUUCACCAUGGAGUAGGCAAUGCGGGUAACCUUCCUCAAGUCAUCCUGGGCCCCUGGAGCCAAGAAAAGGAGGUAUUCUGAAGAGCACAUGCGGAUAGGAGCACCAGACUUCAGGCUGGCCAGACCAAGCAGCACCCAAACAUCCCAGAAUAUUAUGCUUACAACUUCCAUUGCAAGACACUGACCGGGACAUAGAACCUUGUUAUUCUUUCUCUCUCUCUCUUUAAAAUAUAAUUGAUUUUCAUUUUA